ensembl:rRNA 5S_rRNA 5S ribosomal RNA
GUCUACAGCCAUACCACCCUGAACGUGCCCGAUCUCGUCUGAUCUUGGAAGCUAAGCAGGGUCGGGCCUGGUUAGUACUUGGAUGGGAGAAUGACUAUUGUCCUAUAAGAUAUUCAGACCAACAAAGAAUUAUAGUUU